AUUGAACGCUGGCGGCAGGCCUAAAACAUGCAAGUCGAACGCCCUAGCAAUAGGGAGUGGCGCACGGGUGAGUAACAUGUGGGAAUAUGCCUUUUGGUACGGAACAACGUUUGGAAACGAACGCUAAUACCGUAUGGUCCCUCCGGGGUAAAGAUUUAUCGCCAAAAGAUUAGCCCGCACUAGAUUAGCUAGUUGGUAAGGUAAUGGCUUACCAAGGCGACGAUCUAUAGCUGUUCUGAGAGGAAGAUCAGCCACACUGGGACUGAGACUCGGCCCAGACUCCUACGGGAGGCAGCAGUUAGGAAUAUUGGACAAUGAGCGAAAGCUUGAUCCAGCAAUACCAAGUGAGUGAAGAAGGCUAAUUAGGUUGUAAAGCUCUUUCAUUAAGGAGGAAAAUGACAGUACUUAUAAAAGAAGUUCCGGCUAAUACCCGUGCCAGCCGCCGCCGUAAAAC
rnacentral:rRNA from 1 species